rnacentral:piRNA from 1 species
UAUCUUUUUUUUCUCUGCUUA